CAGACUCUGUGCCAUGGCUGUUUUGUCGGCUCCUCCGCUGAGGUGGCAACACCCGCGCUUCCCCGUCCUAGAAUGUCGAAAAACAUAUUGACUAGAUAUGGAGAGACUGGAGGACAAACAUGUCUAUUUCUCGAUUUCAGAUCCUCUAAAGACACUGUCUUCCCCAGGAAGCAAAUUAAAGAAUAUGACAUUCAUAUUUCAAAGAGG